AAGUGUACAUCGGUUAAUUAGCACCGUCUAAUUAUCUAAAUCAAUGAAAUCUAACAGAUUAGAUUAAUCUGAUGAGUUAUCAGAGUGCAAUUAGCAAUUAUAAUAGGCUGACCACCACUUCACCGGCCGACGAAAACUUCCCCUCCGUCAGUUUCUCUCUCUUAACCAGAAAUCUCUCUCCUAAUAAAUAGAUAAAGAAAUCAACAAUCAAUCCCAAAUUAAUAGGGAUUGCAUGCAUUAUAGCUAAUGCUUUAAACCAGGCGUAUGUGAUCCAUGCAAACCGGCUACUCCCGCAUCAAUUCCUCGCCCAAUCAACGCCUCAAUAGUCUGCAUGCAUUUGUUGUUACGGAGGGGAGAGAUUUUUGCGUGUGAGAGAAUGCCUCUGCCAAGGACACGCUACACAUCCUAAAAACACAAGGACGCACUUGCUACCCAUCCUCUGCCGCCGCCGUCUGCAGCCUCCGAUUCAACGCGUUACGCGCUGCCGGAUAUGCAGGAGCUGGCAGGGCUUCCGAUUCGACGUGCCGCCACCACUUCUGGCGACGCACGAGCCACCCGAGGUCGCGAGCGCGGGGCGCUGCCGCCGCGUUCGCUUCCGAGGGUAGGCGAAGACGCAAAUGUUGCCCGUGACCUCGGCCGUCCUCGCGGCCUUUGCGGGAGUGACGACGUCGUCUCCAUCCUUCACUCCGCCUCAUUGACGUCGGUGCAGGUCAUCUCCUCCGACUGCAUGCCCACCAUGGAGGCCAUCUCCUCCAACCGUGCUCCCCACCGUCUCUCUUGAUCCGAUCUGACCCUAGGGAACUUUUGCAGGCCUCGAGCUCAAUCCUUCUCCCCAUAGCUUCAGCGAUCUUAGACAGGCAAAGGAUAUGCUCUGCACUGAUAUAAGACGAGAAAUUAUUUCUGUAACACUUGAUCUUGGGUUUGCACUUGCUAACAGAGAAGCAGCCAAAACAAAGCCACGAGCCUUUGUACUGAAUGUAAAUACACUCUGCAGAUGUGCGCCCAUCUUUUAGUGUGAGGAAUUUGCGGCUUACAUUGCUAAUGCUUGAUUCUCGAUAGCAAUGUUAUUUUCCUCCAUGUUGGUCAUGCCAAAAAAGUAUAGAGGGCGAGUCUGCACCAAUCCACCAUGCUCGAGUUAGGGGGAUCACCUACAGUGCUCACCUACAGUGUGAGGGCCAAACCUAUAUUGUAGGUUAAUUCACUUUUGGAUUUUUUAUGGGCUUGAUGACUAACUUAUCCUUAUUUCAUUGCACAAUUUUCAAACCAUAUCAAAAUGUUAGUUAACAGAUUCGCUGUAAUCAUGGUAUCAUUUUACGACAGAUUUAUGUUCUUUCAUACUAUAUGUAGGCAAUUGGUAUGAUUCCUUUUAAGUCGGAAGUGUCAGUGCGGAGCUAGGAGAAAAUACAUACAUUCUAGAAAGUUUGGUUCCCUUUUUAGAAUCAAUCACAUGUCAUUUGGAGAGCAUACAUUGUUUAUAUAUUGUAUUUGUAUAGAACCAGUUCUUUGCAAAUGUGACUAAACUUGAUGCAGACUUGAUCCUGGUGCGACUUUUUUACCCAGGAUAAUAAACCUCUGUUGUUCUUGUGCGGUUGGGGAAUCAUGUACCGGCAUAGUAAAUAUACCAAAUGAUAUUUCAUUGACAAGCCACAUAUAAAUCAAAGUCAAAAUUAGGCAUAUAUUGUGAUGCAAAGGUAAUCUUAUAUUAGUGUUGAUAUUUCUUUUUUUUCAGCCUCUAUUGCAGUCUGCACCGCUGCAAGAAUGGAAUUAAUUUUGUUAUAUAUAAAUGCUAUAAUAAGUAUUUCAGAGCAUUUUUUUCUGCUGUUGGGCUUUAAUAUUCCAUUCCAUUUCCGAUGGAUAAAAAUGUUUGAGGCUACUUCCAAAUUUAUCCCUUGGUUUCUUACGGUCUAAUGUGUUUGACAGUUUUUCUUUCAGAUUUACCUGUCUUGUUUGUGCAGCAGGUACAAGGUCUCACCAUGUUGAAGGCUACUGCCUGUUCUUCCAUUUUCAUUUUCAUUUUGUUAAUGUAUGUUUACUACCUUAUAAGGACAUGAGGUGACUCGUGGAUUGUAGCGCAUGGGGAGCUUCACGAUUGUUGUGGUUACUUUUUACACAAAAUCAUGGUACCACAAGUUGUAUGUAUAGCUUGUGAUACAUGGUGAUGCAUCUUUGCGAGGUUAAUUGUGCAUCCAGUUUAUUGAUGCUUUGAAGGUGUCUGAUUUAGUGGUUUACAUUGAAGGUGCAUAACAUCAAGUAAAAUAUGAUUAGGCUUACGAUAUAAGAAGAAUAAUGAUUAUAUACGAAAGUUAAAUACAUAUGGUGUGUCGCUUCCAUAAAGAAUGGAGUUAUGCGAAUAGGUGAAUAUGCGCCGUGGGACGAAGGGAUCAUUUGUAUUCCAUUUAUACUCACACGAAUUGUAUGUGUAUCCAUGGAGACGUGUGUUGCACGUGCACGCUUACUAGUUUGUUUGGAAAAUGAACUGAUUUGCCUCAAUUUCUUGGAUCACUAAAAAAAUUAAUUCCUUCAAAAAAAAUAAAAA